AGUGAACGCUGGCGGUAGGCCUAACACAUGCAAGUCGAACGGCAGCACAGUAAGAGCUUGCUCUUACGGGUGGCGAGUGGCGGACGGGUGAGGAAUACAUCGGAAUCUAAUUUUUCGUGGGGGAUAACGUAGGGAAACUUACGCUAAUACCGCAUACGACCUACGGGUGAAAGCAGUGGAUCUUCGGACCUUGCGCGAUUGAAUGAGCCGAUGUCGGAUUAGCUAGUUGGCGGGGUAAAGGCCCACCAAGGCGACGAUCCGUAGCUGGUCUGAGAGGAUGAUCAGCCACACUGGAACUGAGACACGGUCCAGACUCCUACGGGAGGCAGCAGUGGGGAAUCUUGGACAAUGGGCGCAAGCCUGAUCCAGCCAUACCGCGUGAGUGAAGAAGGCCUUCGGGUUGUAAAGCCCUUUUGUUGGGAAAGAAAAGCAGCAGGUUAAUCCCCCGCUGUUCUGACGGUACCCAAAGAAUAAGCACCGGCUAACUUCGUG
rnacentral:rRNA from 1 species